UACACAAGAGAGUCAGCUUGCAUAAACAGUCAAAACACCUUAGGAUUACUUUUUCAUUCAGAUAUAUGUAAGUAAGCACCUACCGGCCUGUAUCUUGUGUAAUUUCCCACAGUUUGAUCAUUUGGUGAGUACAACCCACUGGCAUUUCUUCUCAUAAUGCUUCUUUGCCAUGUCCAUCUUCAGAGGCAGCUCCGUGGUACCUCUCUUACUCUGCGUAGCGAACCUCUUCCACUUCCUGUCCCCAACGGCAAACACAGCUCAUCAUUAAUUCAGUGGAAAGGUACGCAGGCAGACUGUCAGAAACCUGCAUUUACGCAACAGGACAGCAGUCCAUUGAAAUAAUAUCAUUUUAUGAAUUUUUUCUAAUGAUGAUCUCAACUAAAGCUGGUUUGGACAUUCAGACAGGACAGAGUGAUUGACUGCACAAAAGGUCAAUGAUGUGGAAGUCUGCACUGACAAUAGACAGGUGAAAGGCAAUCUGUGAAAUACAAUAUCCUCAUGAACUCAGUAACGUGUUAACAAUGAUCCAGAAAAAACAUUCCCUUUCAUUCACAUGGGUCAAAUUUCUACUUAGAGUGAUAUCUGAGUCAGGUUUGAACUUUUUGUGUGAAAUGUUAUUUGAUGUGUCUUCCUAUCAGUCAUAUAUAAAUGUAAACAUAUAUAUUCAAGACACGAGGACUCACUAAAGGAUAGAGGAAGGAAGGCAACUGAAGUUUUAAAGCUAUCAUCUUCCAGAUGACUUUCUGGAUUGAUAUUAGUGAUAUUUGAGUCGAUGCAGUUCUUUGAAUAAAUGCUCCACCUGUGCUUGUCUAAUUAGGUUGAUUUUCACACAGCUGUCUACAAUCACCUAAUUGCAUCAGUGUCAGUAGAAUCUGAAAGGUUUUAGUACCCUUCCCUGCACAUUGCCUAUUGUUCUUUGCUCUUAAACCUACAGGAGAAAGAGAGGACAGAGCAUGAUUGAUUGUUAUCAGAGCUGGUAGUUUUAAUCAAAUGUCUGCUUUUGUUACUGCUGCACGUGUGGUUGAAUUUACUGCCAUGGCUGUUCAAUUUGAGAUUUCUUGGCUUUGCACUCUGUUGUUCUGGGGCUGCAUUUGCUUUCCUCAUCAAAAAGGUUACAUUGCACAUGGCUACUCUCUUAAUGGUAACGAAGUCAGUUACCAUGAUGGCGUGUUUGACACACAAAUGUCAAACCAGUUUGACUCAAACACAAACCAAGACUCCAUUCGUCCAAGCGAUGAGAUGCAAGCUAUGAGACACCAAAGCUUUCUUUCCCUUCAGAGAGAACCAGUGAACCAGGAAUGCAACGAGGAGUUUAGCUCUGUUACUAGCCUCAGUGAAGAUAUGGCACAAAACAAACCAGACUCUGAGCAUUAUGUCCCCUCCGCUCCCCCUGUGCAGAAAUAUGUGCAUGACGGUUCUGGUUCUCUACACCCUUUUGGCAUUUUACUGAAGAAGCACACACAAGCGCAAACCAGUGGGGGAACCAGUUUCCAAACUAUCCAAGAUGUCAAACGGUUUAUAGAAACAAUGAAGAGAUCCUUCUUAAUGCCAGGAGGUGACAAGGGUAGACAUUUUCAAACUGCAAAGGAAACCAUGGCAAAUGAGAUGGCUUCUAAUGCUCAAAAUAUAAAGGGGGUCAACCCUCCAAACAGCCCAUCUCAAUAUUUUAGCAACCAUUUAAGCAAGCCAUCCAAUAUAAUGCCUCUAACCUCUGAGAAUAUCCAACAACCAAAAUAUACAAGAUAUCGAAAACCAUCUGGUGGCUUUGGAAAUCUUCACCACAUUCAAAGUGAGGAGCUAAACAGAGGGACACCAGCUAAUGUCCUGUCCUAUACCAAUAAUUUCUAUGUUGAUUCCCCAAGAGGUCAACACUCAAUCGAGUAUUUACCAAAAGAAAGACCAGCCAAAUCAUUUCAGGCAUAUCAACCCACUUUUAAUAAGGAAUCAAAGGAUAUAAACUACACUCCCACCGCCCACCUGUCUGUAUCUUCUGGUUAUGUUUCUGCAAGCCCUGUCUACCCUUCACCACAGAGUAGUAGUGGCCAUGUAAGUGUUCAAACAAGCAGCCCACAUGAUGCUCAGAAAGAAGCUUUUACCAGAAAGCAGCCAGUCAGCCUCCACCGACUGUUUACGGUGAAACCUUCCAGCUCUCUUUAUGGCUCAAGUAGACAUGAUGACUAUCUCCAAGGCAAGAUAGUCCAUUUUAGUCAUCCUUCCACCCUAAGUACCCAGGCAAAAGAUGAGAAGCCUGACCUCUUCAAGCAACAUCUAGUCUCUGCCACUCGGGGACUAAAACAAAAGGCUGGCCAUAACUUAAAUCUCAUUUCAAGUGGCUUCGACUCAACCCAUAGUGGGAUCUCCUCUUGGGUCGGAGAUAGUGACGCAAAUUUCAACUCUCACACUAACUUUGCUCCAACCUCAGCAUCAGAGGGAAGCCUUUCCAAGUUUAGUUGA
ensembl:lncRNA